rnacentral:sRNA from 1 species
CACCCCAUGGUGAAGAUAAGCUGAUAGGGCAUGGUUUAGUACAUCCAAAACAAUCUUGAAUACAUAGUGUUGUGACGACGGACUACGCCGAAAAACAAUAUAUGUAACCCAUUUUUGCGGAGGACGCUGGAAAGACCAUGAGGCUACAAGGAG